rnacentral:snoRNA from 1 species
UGGAAAUGAUGAAAUUGAGGUCAUGGGAUAGAAGGGUGUAUGUAUGCAAGAAACAGGGUGGAGGUCUUUAUUUUAAUUAAAAUUAAGGGGUGUGUGUGUGUGUGUGUGUGUGUAGGUAGGGCGGCUAUAUAUGGUGCAGACUGUGGGUACUGAAAAAAGCUGCUGAUUUCGGAGUGCAUCUGAGGCACUGUUGCUAAAAAUUAUGGGGCAUUUUCUGCAGCAUUGCCAGUGAUUAGAGCCCCAAGUAAGCCCAUAGUUUGCACCAAGAGAUUGUAAACCUCUAACAGGUUCAUUUUGUCAUAAUGUACCUUGUGAUCUGAUCUAA